rnacentral:rRNA from 1 species
GACGAACGCUGGCGGCGUGCUUAACACAUGCAAGUCGAACGGAAAGGCCCCUUCGGGGGUACUCGAGUGGCGAACAGGUGAGUAACACGUGAGUAACCUGCCCUUGACUUCGGGAUAACUUCGGGAAACUGGGGCUAAUACCGGAUAGGAAUCCUUGCUGCAUGGUGGGGGUUGGAAAGCUUCGGCGGUUUUGGAUGGACUCGCGGCUUAUCAGCUUGUUGGUGGGGUAGUGGCUUACCAAGGCUUUGACGGGUAGCCGGCCUGAGAGGGCGACCGGCCACAUUGGGACUGAGAUACGGCCCAGACUCCUACGGGAGGCAGCAGUGGGGAAUAUUGCACAAUGGGCGGAAGCCUGAUGCAGCAACGCCGCGUGCGGGAUGACGGCCUUCGGGUUGUAAACCGCUUUCAGCAGGGGCGAAGCUUGUGGUGACGGUACCUGCAGAAGAAGCACCGGCUAACUACGUG